ensembl:lncRNA
UUCACAAUCCUUAUUCAGCGAACAGAAGUGCUUCCCAAGUUGGUCUCUUGUCUAUGUUGCUGACUAAGGGUAUAGCAAUUCAAUUUUAGGUAUGUUGUGUGCAGAUAUUGUAAGUGUGUAGUUCUAAUUUUCAGCUAUUGCAGCACUAUAAAGAAAUCUAUGGUGUUGGACAGCCUCUUUCAGCUCUCAAUUGUUCUUCCAAAGGGAGGCUCCUCUCUCUUAAGAAAGGGUUAUUACAAAAGACUAUUUUCUGUUUCAAAGUAUUCACCAACCUUACAUUUUGCAUUGCAUAGACAUGAAAUGGCUCAAGUAUGGUGACAGCCAGCACUGAGUGUACACUGCCAAGGAACCAUAUUUAGCAGAUUGCCACGAAACGAUCAUGGUCUGAUUAACAGAGAACAAGUGGUGAGUCCUAGAAAGGCUGGUUAUCUUGCCAGUCCAAUGUAAUUAUGAUGUAACUAAUAAGUAAGAGUUAUUAUAUUGCUUUUGUUUACUCCGUCCUGCGAAGCACAGUCUUCAUGUGUUUGUAGGUAGUCAGCUGACUAUGCAGAAGCUAGCAAAAAGUACACCAUAGUUGGGAUGGUCUUUUCUUAAAUUUGCAUUGUGUUAGUGAGUCAAGAAUGCAAAGAACAGUAAUACACAUGUUUUCAUAGAGUCAUUUGAGCUAAAAGGGAUGCUUAAAGGUCAUCGAGUCCAACUCCCCUGCAAUGCACAGGGACACCUGCAGCUCCAUCAGUGCUCAGAGCCCAUCCCCUGACCUUGGGUGUCUCCAGGGAUUGGGCACCCACCACUUCUACCAGAGAGUUACUUAAGAAGCUGAUGUUCCUCUGCCUCCAGAAGUUGGAGAUUUGUAAAAGACCUUCGAAAGCAGAGAAGCCAUAGGCGUGGGAAUGGACAACACACCAUUAUUAUGGAAUAUGACAGUAAGUAUAUAAGUCAAAGAGCUGCAAAGAACCUUAAUUCAAAUAAGAAGCACUUUACAGUAUCUAAAUAAUGUAAGGAAAGACGCAUUUCAGUUAUUGCUGUCAUUUCUUUUUCCU